rnacentral:rRNA from 1 species
AUUGAACGCUGGCGGAAUGCUUUACACAUGCAAGUCGAACGGUAGAGGGGGCAACCCCUUGAGAGUGGCGAACGGGUGAGUAAUAUAUCGGAACGUGCCCAGUCGUGGGGAUAACGUAGCGAAAGUUACGCUAAUACCGCAUACGAUCUAAGGAUGAAAGCGGGGGAUCGCAAGACCUCGCGCGAUUGGAGCGGCCGAUAUCAGAUUAGGUAGUUGGUGGGGUAAAGGCUCACCAAGCCAACGAUCUGUAGCUGGUCUGAGAGGACGACCAGCCACACUGGAACUGAGACACGGUCCAGACUCCUACGGGAGGCAGCAGUGGGGAAUUUUGGACAAUGGACGCAAGUCUGAUCCAGCCAUUCCGCGUGCAGGAUGAAGGCCCUCGGGUUGUAAACUGCUUUUGUACGGAACGAAAAGGUUUCUAAGUUAAUACUAGGAGCUCAUGACGGUACCGUAAGAAUAAGCACCGGCUAACUACGUGCCAGCAGCCG